GAUGAACGCUGGCGGCGUGCCUAAUACAUGCAAGUCGAGCGAACGGACGAGAAGCUUGCUUCUCUGAUGUUAGCGGCGGAUGGGUGAGUAACACGUGGAUAACCUACCUAUAAGACUGGGAUAACUUCGGGAAACCGUAGCUAAUACCGGAUAAUAUUUUGAACCGCAUGGUUCAAAAGUGAAAGACGGUCUUGCUGUCACUUAUAGAUGGAUCCGCGCUGCCUUAGCUAGUUGGUAAGGUAACGGCUUACCAAGGCAACGAUGCAUAGCCGACCUGAGAGGGUGAUCGGCCACACUGGAACUGAGACACGGUCCAGACUCCUACGGGAGGCAGCAGUAGGGAAUCUUCCGCAAUGGGCGAAAGCCUGACGGAGCAACGCCGCGUGAGUGAUGAAGGUCUUCGGAUCGUAAAACUCUGUUAUUAGGGAAGAACAUAUGUGUAAGUAACUGUGCACAUCUUGACGGUACCUAAUCAGAAAGCCACGGCUAACUACGUG
rnacentral:rRNA from 1 species